ACGUGGCUCUUUAGAAGCAACUGCUGUAGAUAAUACAACAGUAUCACCAUAACGUACUAAAACUGCACCAUUAGCUUGUUUCGCUAAUUGACCUGUCUCAAUCGUUAACGAUCUUCCAGCCCAUUCAGUUUUGAACACUUUCUUUUCUUGAGACAUUAUGAAUCUCCUCUCUGAAAUCUAAUACUUA
rnacentral:ncRNA from 1 species